CUCUCAGAAGCACAAUUUGAGGCCUCCAAUACUUCACAUUCACCUACCGAAGCCCACUUGUUUGUUGCUUGUAUGAAUAAUUAAAAAAGUGUUUUCAGUAGCUUUGCUUAAAUUUUCUAAGCAGGAAAAAAGCUCAGAUUCUGAAUAGGUACCUGUUUGAUAAUGGUGACCACUGUAUGUCCCUCACUCUGCGAUGAGCCUGGCCUGCAUUCUUAGCUGUGCAUGGAACACAAGCUACGUAGAAAACUAAAAUACAGUUUUUUAGGGUGUUUUGGUUCGUUGUUUUAUUUUUAAGAGCUGUAAUUAAGCAAUCAUAAAAACCCUUUAAAUAAAUACAGCUUGCAUUUACAUUUAACAUGCACUUCUGGUGUGCUUGUUUAAUUCUUUUUCACCCCAUCUGCAGCAGGUGUUCUGAAUUCUGCCACUGCCCUUGGACUCGAGCUGCCAUGGUGCCUGAAGACAUCACCAGGAUGGGAGAGAGUACUGGAUGGACAAGGAGGCUACAGCAAGACCGAGUAGAAACGUCCAGGUUCAGACAAUGAGGAAUUCAUCCACCAGGCUCUGUCAGAUUGUGACUGUGCAGUUGGUUUCUUCUGGAAGAGCCCCCAGUGAUGUGGCAGUGUUCAGAUGGAUCAGAUUUCCCCCUGCUCAAGGUUGCUAUCAGCCAGCGUGGAUGACAGUCUAG
rnacentral:lncRNA from 1 species